CUCAGGAUGAACGCUGGCGGCGUGCCUAACACAUGCAAGUCGAGCGAUCUCUCGGAGAGAGCGGCGGACGGGUGAGUAACGCGUGGGUAACCUGCCCUGUACACACGGAUAACAUACCGAAAGGUAUACUAAUACGGGAUAACAUAUGAAAGUCGCAUGGCUUUUGUAUCAAAGCUCCGGCGGUACAGGAUGGACCCGCGUCUGAUUAGCUAGUUGGUAAGGUAAUGGCUUACCAAGGCAACGAUCAGUAGCCGACCUGAGAGGGUGAUCGGCCACACUGGAACUGAGACACGGUCCAGACUCCUACGGGAGGCAGCAGUGGGGAAUAUUGCACAAUGGGCGAAAGCCUGAUGCAAGCAACGCCGCGUGAGCGAUGAAGGCCUUCGGGUCGUAAAGCUCUGUCCUCAAGGAAGAUAAUGACGGUACUUGAGGAGGAAGCCCCGGCUAACUACGUGCCAGCAGCGGC
rnacentral:rRNA from 1 species